UACGUAGGGUGCGAGCGUUGUCCGGAAUUAUUGGGCGUAAAGAGCUUGUAGGUGGUUUGUCGCGUCUGCUGUGAAAAUCCGAGGCUCAACCUCGGACUUGCAGUGGGUACGGGCAGACUAGAGUGUGGUAGGGGAGACUGGAAUUCCUGGUGUAGCGGUGGAAUGCGCAGAUAUCAGGAGGAACACCGAUGGCGAAGGCAGGUCUCUGGGCCGAUAUUGACGCUGAGGAGCGAAAGCGUGGGGAGCGAACAGG
rnacentral:rRNA from 1 species